CCGCCGCACGCGGGCGGGGCUGGGAGCGCGCGCCCGAGAGGCGCGUGGGGCACCCGCCGCAAAGAGGAGCCUGCUGGUCUGCUGGCGGGCAGGCGGCGCUGGGCCGGAGCCUCUCCCUCCGGUGCGCACAGCGCACCCUCUCCUCCCCCGGCCGCCCGUCGCAGCGCGGAGAGGGCGUGUCGGCACCCUGCCUGGCGAGCGCCCACCCCUACAAUGGCUGCGAGCGCGCGGGACGGAGGGUGCACCGCCGCUCCCCGGGGACUUGCACGGGUGGCGCGCCUAGCCCAGAGCCCGCUUGUAGUGAGCGCUCAGUAGGGCGGGAAAGCUGCUGCCGCUACUGCGGCCUUCUGAGAAGACGCCCAUUCUCUGAUGUCAGGACUGCAUCGCCGAGUCCUGAUUGCAAAUAGCGAAAUAUAUAAUUAAGGAGAGUUCGGGGGCGUAUCCUGCAAUGGGAUGCCGAGUUCGAUAAAGUUGCAGGAUGCUGGGAAAGUGGAUUGAUUUGCUGUUGCUAAAUGAAUGGAAACAGCGUUAGAGCUUCUGUCCACGAUCCAUCAGUCUAUCGAGAUUGCUGAUUGCCUAUGACUUGGACGGUUGAUGGUUUUCAGGCCCACUGAGAGCAGCCAGCGUUGGUAUAACCGCAGGGAGCCCUCCUGGGAGGUUGAACCUGCAGAGCGCAAAUGUGCCCAGGUUGAUUUGGGGCCUAGUGGUCCAUUUUCACAGCUCCACUGCCUAUCUGCAUAACCAGGAGCCCUCAUUCAGAUGAACGCCAAAUGGGCCAGAGGGAGGAGAAUCAAAUGAGCAACUUUUAAAAGAUAUUAAGACAUAGGCACCUAACUCCGGACAGUUCCUUUAACCCUUGAGCUAACCAUUUGAAGCACAAAACAUAACAAAAGAAAAGACUGGGGGGAGUGGGGCCAAAAGAAACCAAGUGCAAAAUUCUGUACACUUGUGUCAGAUUCACUCCGUAAUGGGAAAAGGUCUGGCUUUGAAAACUUUAUGGAUCAAAGGGAUGCAUGGAGUUACACAGCACAGCUGCAGAAGAUAAUGUUCCCCUGGAUCACUCUGCCCAACUCUUAACUGCAACCCACCUUCCCCAUCCGUCUCCCCGAAAUCACCCGGAAGGGUGUUACCUUCAGGAAGUAACUGAUCUCUUGAUCACCCCUGCUGGAUCCUGUCCCCAAGGGCGUUCGAAUGCAUCCGACUCAUCUUCACCUUGCCAAUAACGGGUGCUUGACACAUCGUUUGCUGCCAAUCAUUAUUGUGAUUUUAAUACUAUUGGUAUUCUAACUAUCAAGAUGACUGCUUGUAGAGCCAGAUUGCCUGGAUUCAAACUCCAGUUCACAACCUACUAACUGUAUGCCUUUAGGUAUGUUACUUAACCUUUCUGGGCCUCAGUUUCCUCAUCCAUCUGUAAAUGGGGAUAAUGAUGGCUUCUACCUGAUAGGGCUGUUCUGAACAUUACAUGAGCUGAUCGAUGAAAGCACUUCAAGUGGUACCUGGCAUCUCGUAAACUCAGAUGCCUCUGAUGGAUUCGAAAUAACCAGAUAUAUUUCUGAAUUGCUUCAUAUGGGGGUAAUGCUAUUUACCUGGGAUCCUAUCCAGCAGCUUCAAAGGUGGUGGCAGCCAUUACCCGACUAAUGAGCACAACACCCCUGGCUCCCUGUCUUCAAGGCAGGAAGAUGCUGUGAUGCACAUCAGGAGAUGGAGGGAAAAGAAAUGACUUGCCCACCUGAGUGGCAGAAACAGUUGGGAAAAGAGAUUAAGGAAGGGAUGGUGCUGUUGGCUCCAGGCAGUGACUCAAGGAGGCAUUCAUGGUGAAAGAAGAAAGGCCUUUCUCAGGUGAUGCUUCAUCUUCCCCCACGUGCUCUGAUACCCUGUCCCUGCCUUGAUGUGUCUAUAAAUACAAACAGCAGGAGACCCGCAUCAGUAGACAAAGCAGGUGGCUGCAACCUAUUCUUCUUCCCAAUGGCCACUGGGACAGUUCCUCUCCCCCAGAACUUGUUGUUUAUAUUUAUUUUACACUAAAGCUAUUUUAACAUAAACCUGUUGAAAUAGGAGAGGGCUUCCCAUCUCACACCUCCACAGAUGUGUAUUUUCUAGAACAAAUUCAAGACUAAUCAUAAAAUGAAAACAGAUUUCCACAAAGUUGUUCUUUAUAAUGUAAAUUUUUUUCUGACAGGCAGCUUAAUACUUCAAAGGGCAACCCAUUCCUUUAUUGAUUAUAACUAAUUGUUUGAGAUUUUCUUUAGCAUGAGUUGAAAUUUUUCUUCCUUUGUCAAAGUGAAGGAAGGGACUUGUAUACAAGGAAGGUCCUUGUAUAAAGGACCUAUCAUCAAGGUACCAUCUCUCUUUAAACUUUAACUCCCAGAGGAGAAAUACCUAUAGCCACACAAUUCAUGUACUUUUUAGUCAUUGGAUCUCUAUGACUAUUAUCAUUAUAGAAACUGUUUUAAUAUAAUAAUAAUUUGAAAACUGGAUUUUAAGAAUACAAAUUUAGAAAUAGCAGUUCUCUCUAGAGACUCAUUCAUGAAUAUGGAAAGAUCUUUUAUCAGAUAAUUCCCCCCAGGGGUCCUUUAAAUAGCAAUCUCCUUCGUUUUGAUUCAAUUUGUAGAAAUCCCAUCUAGAUGCAUUACUGGACCACACAUUGUGUAAAGGAAGGUACAUUAUGUGUUGGGUAACCAUUUGGCUCUCUCUUUCUUCCCAACUUGUGACUAAUUGAUUUUGCCAUUAAUUGGGAUUUCCCCUGGAGGCCAUUUGAUCUGUUUGCAGGAUGAGCAGGGAGUUAGGGCAGUCCCUCCAGAUGGGACGGCUUUCAAUAAGCAGACAGUCCAAAGGGGCAUCAGAGUGAUACAGAAACGAUUAAUUGAAUAACUCACUUGAAAAUCAUGUGCUGCUUUAAAGACCUAAAAGCUAAGUAAAUACCUAAGUAAAGGCCAUACUGAUCAAGUAAGACUCCUUGUUGCAGCCUGGCUGAGAAUAAUGCCAGGAAAAAAAAAAUUUAAGAGCAUCCCAUUAAUGGAUUCUUUAAAAUACUGGAAGCAUGAUUCCAGGCAAUAACAUACUGUAAUCCCCAUAAUACUCACAUUUGCAUAACUCUAGAUAAUUUAUGAAGCAUUUUCGCAGAUACUGUGCAGAUCUCACACUGACACGGGGGUGGGUUGGCUGUGAAAGGGCUCAACUGGACUUACAUUCCAGGAGCAGAAACAGGCUUGGAGCUGUGGACUUCUCAGAGGCAUACAACUAGUAAGUGGCAGAAAUAUUACCAGAACCCAAAACUUCUAAUUCUAAAUUUCUUGACAACACACAGCACCAUCUCCCCAGUGCAUCACAGCUAAAACCACCUUACUGGACUCUGUUUUACCCUGGAGAAGAAAUGCAUACUGACUGAGGACUCUGCUCCAUGCCUGGCAAAAUAUUUGUAUUAUUUUUACAAGUAUGUUUUAGUUUUAUACAGAUAAAUACAAUUUUAAAUGGUUAAAGAUGGCCUCAUAUUUAAAAAGCACAUUGGGAGCCACUGUGUUAGAUUAUGCAGUGCAGACAUAGAGAACCAAAAGGCUAUGUGUGGUGGGAAUAGUGAGGCAGAACAAGAACUUUCUAGAAAAGGAAAGAAAGGAGAGAACCUGUGGAGCGGAGCUGGGAACCAGGCUGGAGAGGAGAGGGAAUAGCUGUCCAGGAGCAGCUAUGCAUGUAAACUAGACAUGAGGCUCUAUUUUAUCGAGAAUUUUCCUUCUCUUAUCUCUACAUGCCCUUUCCCACUACCACCUAGCAGUCAGCUUUAUCCCCUGAGAGGACUUAGGGAAAUGGAAGGAGGAGAGGAGCUGACUUUGUCUACCUAAUAAGAGAAGGACAAGGGGAAGCCAUUAUCCUGACCUUUCUGUCUCCCCAGGAAAUGGGUAUCUACCUCUUUGCAUUUGUUUACUAAGAAAGGCUAUUCAAGUGAUUUUUCCUAGAAUAAUGAAAGAUGUUUCUAGAAGGUUUGCUUUCUCCCCAACACAAAGAAGCAGCCAGGAAUUCCUAAAUAUCAAGCUUUUUUAAAAAAAUUCCAUUUCACCAGGCAAUCCACUAUGCACGUGAGAACAGCACCUACUUCAUAUGCUUGUUGUAAGAUGUAAUCAAGACCACGUACCUAAGCUGUUUACACAGGGGCAGGCACAAGUUAGGCAUACCAUGAACAUUUGUGUCUUAGUCUGUUUUCUGCUGCUAUAACAGAAUACCUGAGAUGGAUUAAUUUAUAAACAAUAGAAGUUUAUUUGGCUCACCGUUCAGGAGAUUGGAAAGUCUAAGAGCAUGGUGCCUGCAUCUGGUGAAGGCCUUCAUGUUGUGUCAUCCCAUGGCAGAAGGUGGAAGGCAACAAAGGGCAGCAGUGAGCAAGCAAGAGGAGGCUGGACUCGCUUUUAUAACAAAGGUACUCUGGAGAUAAAUUACCCACUCCUGUGAUAACAACAUUAAUCCAUUCAUGAGGGCGGAGCCCUCUGACCUAAUCACCUUUUAUUAGGCCCCACCUCCCAAAAACUGUUGCAUGGGAUUAAGUUUCCAAAACAUGAACUUUGGGGAACACAUGCAAACAAUAGCAAUUUAUAAAUAAGGACCAAAAUUUGUUGAGGACUUAACAGGUGAACCCAAGAGCUACAAUGGGGCUCCAGGCACAAUCUUUGUCUUCAAGGGGUAUAUUAGUCUGUUCUCCUGCUGCUAAUAAAGACAUAC
rnacentral:lncRNA from 1 species